rnacentral:lncRNA from 10 species
CCCAGAUGUGGCCAGUGAAGCCCCUUCAAGACAGUUCUUAUGUUCUUUGGGCACUAAUCCAGCUUCUUUGAGCAUUUUCUUGCUUUCUGAUACAAGAUGUUUCAGUCAUCCCUUCUCCCUGCUGCAGUCAUUUCUUCAGGGAGCCUUGGUUACUUUUUAGCAGACAACAGUUCAGAAACCAAGAUGUGGAUGCCACAAAUGCUCAUUGCUACUGGAGUGUCAUUGCUCACAGGUUUGGCACCUGGAAUAUUAAUGAGUGAACAAACUUUACCUAGCCCCAGACACUAAGAAUAUGGAAACGUUUAUUUAUUUAUUUAUUUUUGAGGCGGAUUCUCGCUCUGUCACCCAGGCUGGAGUGCAGUGGUGGGAUCUCGGCUCACUGCAAGCUCCGCCUUCUGGGUUCACGUCAUUCUCCUGCCUCAGCCACCCGAGUAGCUGAGACUACAGGCCACCACGCCCGGCUAAUUUUUUGUAUUUUUAGUAGAGACAGGGUUUCACCAUGUUAGCCAGAAUGGUCUCGAUCUCCUGACCUCGUGAUCUGCCCGCCUUGGCCUCCCAAAGUGUUGGGAUUACAGGCAUGAGCCACCGCACCCGGCCUCGGAAACAUUUAUUAAACAGCAGUGUAUCAGCUGCCUGUCACUACCACUAAUUAUAGCCAGCAUUUUGUAGAAUACUUACCGUUUGGCAGCUGUCAUCUUUGUGCUUUCAUGUGAAUUACCUAAUUUAUGUCCUUUCAUAGUCCUACUGUCUCCAUUUUUGGAUAAGGAAACUGAGGCUUAAAGUAAACUACUUUCCCGAGGUCGCAUGACUGGUAGCAGGGGAACCAGGGUGAUAAACUUGGUCUGUCUGGCUGCAGAGCCUGCACUUAGUAACACAUGGUCCCAGCCAGCACUGGGCUAGAUGCCAAUGAUUCCAGACUAACCUGGACCCUGCCAUCUGGAGCACAGUCUGGUCGGGAGAAGAGGACCAGAGUGAUGGGGCAUCAGCAAAGGCCUGGAGAGCAGAGAGGAAGUCACCUAUCAGAGACGGGGUUUUACCAUGUAGGCCUGGCUGGUCUCGAACUCCUGACCUCAGGUGAUCCACCCGCCUCAGCCUACCAAAGUGCUAGGAUUACAGGUGUGAGCCACCGCGCCUGGCCAGGGCCGCUUCUUAAGCUCCCACACCUCUUGCUCCGUGAGUUCGGAUCUGUGGAUCCUACCUUGUGCCUAUUGGAUUUUAUUGCAUGGACAUCCCACAAGCGUAACAAAUAAACGUCUACAACUUCUUCUCAAG